AUGCUGAGCUCAACCCCAUGCACCACGCCCAUCACGCAGCCCCGCUGCCGUCCUCUUCUUAUCCCCAGCCCUCCCGCGCCAAGCCGUGGCCACAAACGGCGGCUGGACCACCCACACGUCGGCGUCGGCCACGCCGUGUCACUCCACUCCUCGCGUCGCCAUUGGCCCAGGUCACCAGAGAAAGGGCACUGGCAAAAGCCAGCUACAUCCGCUUCGGAUCGGGGCCCUGGAAACCUGUGGAGCGGAAGCUCCGGCCAUGGCCAUCCCAUCCUCCUAUUUAGCCGCGAUCUCCCCCGCAUCCUGUCACUAACCAGUGAUCGGAUCGCACAAAAAGCUCCGAAAAGCAGAAGCAUGGCCCUCCCGUCGCCGGCCGGCAUCGCGAAGCCGAGGCUUCACCUUCUCUUCAACCACAGGCGCACCAGUUCGUCGUCUGUCACCUGCUGCAGCAACAACGGACGGUCGUCGUCGUCUGAGCCCGAGGACUGGGCAGCGCCGUCCGGAAACGCCGUCGACUGGCGCUCGUUCCGGGCGCGGCUCGUCCUCAAGGAGCAAUACGCGAAGAGCUUCAACCCGGCGCUCAGGGCGUCGUGGUCGCCGGCGGUGAAGGUCGCGGACAAGUGGGCGCACCCGCUGGUGGAGCCGGAGAAGGGGUGCCUCCUGAUCGCGACGGGGAAGCUGGACGGGUCGCACAUCUUUGAGCGCACCGUGAUUCUCCUGCUGUCGGCCGGGGUGCUGGGCCCCGUGGGCGUGAUCCUGAACCGUCCGUCGCUCAUGUCCAUCAAGGAGGCGCAGUCCCUCUUCGCGGAGAAGGCGGACAUCGCCGGCACCUUCUCCGGCCGCCCGCUCUUCUUCGGCGGCCCGUUGGAGGAGUGCUUCUUCCUGCUGGGGCCGCGGGAGGGCGGAGACGGCGACGGCGGCGACGUGAUGGGCCGGACGGGGCUGUUCGAGGAGGUGAUGCCGGGCGUGCACUACGGCACGCGGGAGAGCGUCGGGUGCGCGGUGGAGCUGGUUAAGCGCGGGGUCGCCGGCGUGCGGGACUUCCGCUUCUUCGACGGGUUCUGCGGGUGGGAGCGGGAGCAGCUGCGCGACGAGGUGCGCGCUGGGCUGUGGCGUGUCGCCGCCUGCAGCCCCGCCGUUCUCGGGCUCACCGGCAUCGGGGGCGGGCUCUGGGAGGAGGUGCAGCAGCUCGUCGGAAAGAGGAGGGUGUGGUGA
rnacentral:rRNA from 1 species